GUUACUUAUUUAGUUAUUUAUCAUUUAACUCUCUUUGCUAGAAGGUAAGUUUAAUGUGAGUAAGGAUCUUGUUUCUUUUGUAAAUCACCAUUGUCUGUAGUUCCUAGAAUCAUGCCUCACACAUAGUAGGUUCGGUAUAUAUUUUCUUCAUAUAUAAGUACACGAAUAAAUGUUUGACUAUGGACAGUAGAAAGUGUGUAAAUAACUGUAUAGGUUAAACUUCCUGCCAGACUUUAACUGCUUUCUACUAUGAUUUAAAAAAGGAUGUCAAGAGAUCGAGACCAUACUGGUCAGCAUGGUGAAACCCCGUCUCUACUAAAAAUACAAAAACUUAGCUGGGCACUGUGGCGCGUGCCUGAAACCCCGUCUCUACUAAAAUACAAAAAAUUAGCUGGGCAUGGUGAUGCGUGCCUGCAAUCCCAGCUACUCAGGAGGCUGAGGCAGGAGAAUUGCCUGAACCCAGGAGGCGGAGGUUGCGGUGAGCCGAGAUGACGCCAUUGCACUCCAGUCUGGGUAACAAGAGCGAAACUCCGUCUCAAAAAAACAAAAAAAACAAAAAAAACAAAAAAAAACUUUCCUUUUCUUAGAACAGAAAUAAAGUAUUUCCCUUAUUGCAGAAAGCUCUGUUGGAUAGCAGAGCUGCAGAGUUACAAGGAUACAAAGGGACUAGAUUUGGUCUGUCCAUUUUGAGAACUUACAAUUAUUGCAUGCCUAUUAUAGAACUUAGAAUCUAUCAUGGUACAUUCUAUAAUAGGGUAUUAGUUUUAGUUUAGCAGAUUUUUCUUAUGCCAGUCACUAUGCUAAAUCCUAUGGAUACAAUGAAAGCUAAAAAUUGGUCUCUGAAACCCAGUAGUUACAGUUCAAGGGAAACAAGAAAAAAGUGCCUUAAGGCCUUAGGGACCAGAGUAAUUUUUCCUGGGAAAGUUACAAGAGAAAAACACAGUUACACAUAUUUCUUCUGUCUUCUCUACCAAUGUACAUGCCUUGCUUUUUGAAUAACACAGAAAAGUCUAUGGUCGUACCACCCUGAACGUGCCUAAUCUCAUCUGAAUAACACAGGAAAGACUUUAAUAACUGUAUCAUGUAAUAAGUAAUUAUUAUAAUUUUGCAUUGGCAUUCUCAAUGCACUGGACUCCCUUUGCUCUAUUUUAUAAAUGAACCUGGACUGUAGGGUGAGAACUGUGACAACUUCUGAAUUUACCUGGCAACAUUAAUCACAGGGUAGGCAAUCAGCCUCAUGCCAGUGAUGUUUCUCAGUGCAGCCUCCCCCCCACCAUGGGUAAAGUGAAGGAGACAUUUAAGUCUCCUAAUGACCCCACAGUUAUAUGGGUGCCCAGCAGUGGUCUUUUAUUGAAACUUCUGGCAGCAGCUGUUUUGUAUCUCUUCUACAUUUAGCAUAUUUCACGUAAAUUGCAAAGAUAAUGAAAUAGUUAUGCCCUUUACAGUAAGAUAACUCAUUUAAUUUGUGAGCAGUGGCUGUAUAUUAACUGUGUUUUCCGAAACUUGGAUGAAAAGGACAUCUAUUUAUUGACUGAACUAAGGGGGUGGGGUUCUCUAUUGCUAUCUGGGGCUGGGGCCAAGGAUUUAACCCUCAGGUUCCUUCCUUGCUGGCAUUAAUGCUACUGUACAGGCAGGAAGUUGCCCAGGAGUGAAAGCACAAUGCUGCUGAGACAGAAGUCUAUUUUCAGCUGCUGGUUUAUUUCCUCACUUUAGUGACCUUGGAUAGAUCUAUCUUUUCCCUGUGUCUCUGUCUUUGUCUCUGCAAUUGAUUCAGAUAUGGCAUUUAUUGUUCAUGUGAUAUGGUUUGAAAUUUUUGCAGUCUUAAUUGUUAAAAGGAGACCAGGAAGUCUAAGCUCUCAAUCUGGAUUUAUUUCUUAUUCCACCAGUGUCUAUUAAGUGACCCUAGGCUCAUUAAAUAAUCCGAAUGGAGGGACUAGUAUCCCUGGCGCUUUAUUCUUUCCAUCUGUAAAAUGGGGUUAUGAGCAUACCUCCCUUCCUAUCUCUGGGAAAUACAAGAGCAUAUAUAUGUGGGGAAUUUGGGGGAUUGGAGUUUUAUAAAUAUUUAGAUUCUAAAUAGACAUGUUUGUUGGUCUGCCUGUCACAAUCCUGUCUGAUUAACUUCCUCUUCCUUCCAUAGCCCCUUGACUGGGCAAACUUCAAACAAGGUGACUGAGCUCCCUUAGCUGCCACUGAUUGGACCAGGAUAGACAGCAAAUGUAGGAGGAGUUAAUCUGGAUCUAGCCUGAGUCAGUCAGAUGUCUCCCUUGAAUCUAUGCAUAUAGAAAUACAAAAAAUGGAAGCCAGAGGAUGAUGGAUCCUUGAAGUAAAAGGUCAGGUAGAUCUUGAAAAUUUUUGACUCAAUCCAUAUUGACCCAAACACAAGAAUAAUUCUGGUCUACAGAGAGAUGCAAUAGAAAGGCUCAGGUGUAUUAAGAAAAGCAAAUAAGUAACCCUGGGGCAUGAGAAAGAGUAAGACAGGGUGAUGGAAUGAGUGGCUGCCUGAGACUUUCUAAUUCACACAAGGUCUGGCUCUGUUUUAAGCAUUCUUUACAUUUUCAUUCACACCACACUCUAAUGAGGUUGGAAAUGUUACAGGUGCUGAUUUAGAGAAUGCAGUCAGCUAUGGGACUUAUCCAAGGUCACACAGCUGGUUUUUAAGUUGGCUGAGGAUUUGAUUAUAGAUUUCUACUUCUAAGUUCAAAGUUUUUUUCUGCUAUUCAAUGGCCUAUUGUUUAAGGUUGAAGCUUGAAAGAGAAAUAAGAAGAUCUAAAGAAACUGCUCUAAUCCAAUGUAGAUACUGAAGGCUGGUAUUUUACUUGUAAUGUGACUAAGUAAUAUUUGACAUUAUCCCUGAUAUUUAUCCCAAUGCCAGUAACCUCACCAUUAAAUUCAUCUCUUCCUCUGGAAUUUGAAUGAUACUACUACUUUUUUCUCAUCCCAUUCAAGUGAUUUUUCAUUUCUGCUGGAACAAGAGUGUGAAAUUUUACAAGGCUGUCAUAUAUUUUAAUUGGUAUUUACUCAUGGUUCUGAUAGGUAUUUUCUGUGUUUGGUCAUCCACUCUGUGAAGCCUGCAUUUUCAAAAAUUAUUAUUAGAACACAUUUUAGUGACAAUUAUAAAAGCAAACACCAACAUUUCAAUUAAGAUCUAAGUCAG
rnacentral:lncRNA from 1 species